CUUGAGCUUGCAACAGAGGCUGAGUAGACAGAGGCUGAGUAAGAAUUUCGCUGUAGGCAAUGGCUUGGAGUUAAGACCUUCCAGGCUGCAGGAAAUGGAGAAAGGCCUCAAGGGAGAGACGUUCCCACCCUGAAGCGUGAGGCCAGUCCUGGAUGGAGCCCGAGAACUUCUCAGUCUGCGGCCAGGGACAGAGACCAGAGGAGGACUCCAUGAAGCUGUGGGAUUUGAAGAGGGACAGAGGAGCACUGGAGCCAGGAAAUGUCAUUGUCUGGAGCCGUCCACCCUGAUGUCAUCAUCCUAUUGUAUGGAGACCGAUGAGUUGUGCAGGUUGCAAGCCAUGCUUCCUGGUUCCGCUUCUCAGGUCACCUAACAUCUAGAAAAGUCUGUCCCACCCUCUCCCCUGAUCUUCUGUUACACGGUAUAUAGGGUCAGGGUAAGGCUUGAUCCCUAGUUAGUCUUCUGUUCGUUAAGAAGCCCCCAAAGCCAUGUUCCUGUUUACCCCGAAUAACCACAGCACUUUCUGCCGGGAAAGCCUUGCCUGGCUUCUCCAUUUGCUUUGUAGGAAGGGCACACAGGGACUUAUCUCGCAGUGCCUGGGAGCUCUUCAGCUCCCUUCGGGUGGGGUUACUCUGUUCUGCUCGUGUUUGCCGGGUUGUUUCUUUCUUCUUCACAACCUCAUUUACCACAGAGCCGAUUCCAGCUUACAAGUACGGCUGGAGCAGCUUGACAGAACAAACCCAAUCAUCUUGCUUUGCUUUUGCUCUCAGCAAAAAAUAAAAAUUUAGUCACUGGGGAUGUAGCUUAGGGAUAGACCACUUACUUAGCAUGUGCUACGGUCUGGCUUCAAUUCCCAGCACUGCAAAGUAACAACAAUAACACAAAUAAAUAAAAGUAUGCUAUAGUACAUCUGAGAGGCCUGAGUUGAGCUCCUUAUAGUGUUUUGCAAUCCCCUCUCCCUUCCUGUAGAUUUAGUCCUGAUGGUCUGGAAUGAUUGUCCCUCACAGACAAAGGCUGCUCUUGGCCCGUUUUGCUUUCACAUCCAUUUGAUAUUUUUGUUUGUUUGUUUGAUGGUACUGAACUACGGCCCCAACCAACUCUUCACAUGAAUCUCAGAUCAGCUGUUCAAAGCCCACUCAAGGUCCUGGUGGAAGUUUGAACUCUGGACCAGGGAGGUGGCUUAGUGAGUGCAGGUGCUAGCUAGCCAUACGAGCCUCACAGACUGAGUUCCAUCCCUGAACCCAAGUGAAAAGCCAGACCUUUAUGCAUCUCUUGAGUUAGCACUCCUAUA
rnacentral:lncRNA from 1 species